rnacentral:rRNA from 1 species
CAACUCGACUACAUGAAGCUGGAAUCGCUAGUAAUCGCGGAUCAGAAUGCCGCGGUGAAUACGUUCCCGGGUCUUGUACACACCGCCCGUCACACCAUGGGAGUCGGAAAUGCCCGAAGUCUGUGACCGAACCGAAAGGAAGGAGCAGCCGAAGGCAGGUCGGAUGACUGGGGUGAAGUCGUAACAAGGUACC